AAUCUAUACUGUCUAGGAUCGAUUCCUAAGUCCCUAUAAUACCAAUCCGUAACUGAAAGUAAAACCUUGAUGACGUGUAGAUCUGAUCUACUGAUCUAUUGAGAGGAACGGGGAAACACACCUUUGUUGUUGUUGCUAUCUUCAUACCGUCGCCCUGUAGAGAAGCAGCAGGGCAUUGGGAUCCAAGCCGCUGUAGGUUGUCGCGUUUCCAAACACUCCGACGCCUAGGCGAUGGGGGCCUCUGAGGACUAGGGUUUUAGGGCGAGGUACUAGCGUUAGUCUUUCCUGCGACCCCUUAGUCCUAUAUAUAGCGUCGUGUGUCUGGGGGCUCCAACCGAGGUUAGCGUGGGCCCUCCCAAUCAAGGGCCCAUUUAAAGAGAUAGAUAGUUGGGUUUAGCCCAAUCCGGUCACUGUUGACCAGCUGUAGAGGACACACCCAACAAUCUCCCCUUUGUUCUCUACAUUCCUUAUUCUCAACUUUUCUGGAUUCCAUCCCUUGACAAGUUUACACAUAGAGACCAAGGUGUGACAAUGAUCGAUUAAGUAUCAUCGCACUCAUUGACUACAACAUGCUCGCCUGCUUCAGAACGGGAAAAGACUUUAUUUGGUUGCAGUCUGUAGCCCCUGUGAUUCAAGAUCAUAGGCACUCCCUUAAACCCAUGCCGGCUACGUGAUAUCUUAACACGUUGGGUGGAAGACCUUUUUGUGAGCGGAUCCGCUAGCAUCUGCUAUGUUCUGUUAUGCUCAUCUUUUAUGGUUUGAUCCUGAAUCUACUCCUUAACAACAUAACACUAAAAGUCAAUGAACUUGGCAGCACCACAUGACUUGUUGUUAUAGGAGUACGGUACUGCUGGCUCAUUAUCGCAGUAAAUUCUCAGUGGUCGCUCUAUGCUAUCAACCACUCUUAAUCCGGGUACAAAUUUCUUUAUCUUUAUUGUCUGCCCAUUUGCCUCAUGCAUGGUUACAAACUCAGCGUGCAUUGUCGACUAUGCUCUCGUUGUCUGUUUGCAACUUUUAUAAGAAAUAACUCCCCCAGAUAUAGUAAAUUUAUACCUCGAAGUAGGGAACUAGAUCUUCUGUUUGUUAGCAUGAGGCCAUUUUCGUACCUUGGAGGUACAUUAGAGCCUUCUUAACUACUUAAAAGUGUUCUAUGCUUGGGUUGAUCUGAUAUCUCCCAAGCAUCCCGGUAGUAAAUUCUAAGUCAGGGCGAAUAUAUAUUUGAGCAUACAAAAUGCUUCUGAUAGUAGAAGCAUAUGGUACUGACUUUAUCUGAUCUUUCUGACACUGAAUCUGGGGACACUGAUGAUUCCCAAACUUAUCACCCUUGACUUUUGGCGCAGGCGCGACCUUACACUGAUGCAUACUGUACUUCUUUAGUACUUUUCUAAGUAUGACUUCUGUGAGGGUUCUAAUACUUCAUUAUGUCUAUCUCUGUGAAAUUCUAUUUUAAAACAUAAGAGGCUUCUCCUAUGUCUUUUUAUAUCGAAGUUCGAGGAACAAAAACUUUCUGUUUCCGCCAGUAGAUCUUUAUCACUACUAGCUAAACAUAUGUCAUCGACAUACAGAACAAGGAAGAUAUACUUUAUUUUUCCUUAGAUUUCGCAUAAAUGCAAUUGUCUUCCUCGUUAUCCUCGAAACUAAACUUUUUGAUAGUCUGAUCAGAUUUGACGUACCACUAUCUGGAGGAAUGUUUUAAUCCAUAAAUGGACCUCCUUAAGUGACAUCUCUUGUUUUUCUUUUACUGCUCACAACAAAACCCUUUGGUUGUGUCAUGAACACGUUUUUCUGUUAACUCUCCAUUUAGUGAUGUUGUCAUUACAUCCAUCUGAUGGAGCUCUGGAUCAAAAAGAGCCACUAAUGCCAUAAUGAUCUGAAAUGAAUCUUUUGUUAGGACAAGUGAGAAGGUUUUAUGGUAGUCAAUGCCUUCUCACUGUGUGAACGCCUUGGCCACAUGUCCUUGUAUCUUUCUAUAUUCCCUUUGGAGUCACGCUUGGUCUUCUAAGCCCACUAAUUUGCGCUUCUCAUAGCUAUUUCAUAUGUAGUGGGAUCACCUUCUGCAUCGAUGUCCUUACACAUAUAAAUAUCAUCGCUUUCUAUGUCUACACUUGUGUAAACUCCAUAAUCAUCAGGAAUCGCAGAUCGUCUAGACCUUUGAGACCUUCAUAAACUUGUUUCUAGUUCUGGUUCGUUCUGGGGCUCCUGCAUUAGUGCAUCACUUGGCGUGACACUACUACUGCCAUGUGAACUCUCCUGUGCAACCGACUCAGAAGAGCCAGAAUGUGCAGAAGGUGUAGUGACUUGCUCUAUAGUAGUUGCACUUGGUGAUACAAUAUUUGCAGCAGGGGUUUCACCUCGAGUCGUUACAACCGUUGGUGGAACCACAGCUGGUAUCGAGAAGUAUGGUUCUUCAACCAUCGGAAUCGGGACAUACGUCCUCUUUCCUGAAGGUCAACCUCUCUGAGUACCUUACUCCCCUUGAUCAUGUCAUCUUCUAGGAAAAUGGCAUGUCUGGUUUCUAUAAACUUGGUUUGUCUGCCUGGGCAGUAGAAUCUGUAGCACUUCGAUCUCUCAGGAUAGCCAAUAAAAUGGUAGCUAGUGGUUCUCUCAUCUAGCUUUUCCUGCCCAGGAUUAAAUAUUCUAGCUUCUGUUGGACAACCCAUAUGUGGAAGUAGUUGAGCGUGAGCUUUCUGCCAGUUCACAACUCAAAUGGAGUUUUAGCCACUGAUUUGCUAGGAACUUUGUUGAGUAUUUGCAUAGCGGUUUUUAAAGCCUCCAUCCAAAAACCCAAUGGUAAGUUAGAGUAACUAAGCAUACUCAUUACCAUGUCCAUCAUUAUUCUUCUUACGCCUUUAGGCAACCACAUUCUGUUGCGGUUCACCAGGUGUUGAAUACUGAGCUACAAUACUGUUUUCACUUAGGAACCUCGCGAAAGGAUCCUGGGACCUGUCCAUACUCAGUAUGGUGCCCACAAUACUCCCCCCACGAUCUGAUCGAACAAUCUUUAUCUUCAAAUCGUGUUGAUUCUCUACUUCAGCCUUGAACUGUUUAAACUUGUCUAAAGCUUCUGAUAUUUCCUUAACGGGAUAAAUAUAACUGUAGCGAGAGUAGUCAUCUGUGAAGGUUAUGAACGAAUUAAACCCAUCUACUGUCCUAACUAGAAAAGGACCACAGAUAUCUGUAUGAAUAAUUUCUAACACUCUCGUACUAUGCUUAGCAUCUUUCUUAAUCUGCUUCGCAAAUUUACCCUUAAUGCAAUCUCUGCAUUGCUCUAAGUCUGUGAAGUCUAGGUGAUGGAGAAUCCGUCCCUUAACGAGACUUCUUUUCUCCCCCUCGAAAUACGGCCCAAACGAUAGUGCCAUAAUUUCGACGAGGUUUCUCCAUCACAUUGAUUUCUUACUCCUGCCAAUGUUGGCUGGUUUGUUUUCUGGUGUAUCUAGCACCACUGUGCAAAGAUAAAUAAAGUAUGUCUCGUCAGUUGGCGAGACCAACAUCUUUAUUAUCAAAACUGAAUAACACACAGUCUCUGUCACUGAAGUGAUAGUGGAUGUGCUGAUUGUCUAAUCACGAAACAGAAGUUAAGUGUCUACUUGCUUUCCGUUAACCACUGUAACUGUUUUCAGCCCUAUGGGAGCCUUAGGUUUGUACGGAAUUGCAUUCUGUAGCAUCUAUUGCAGGAAUUUUGGACACUUUCUAUUGUAUGCCCUGUCUUCUUGCAGUAGAGGCAGGUCUCAGGGGGAUCUGAGAAACAGUCUGAUUUUUGCAUGUAGAAAACAUCGUGAUCAUGUUUGAACUUAUUCUUGAACCUUUCUUAGAGGUCUUGUUCUGUCUGAGGAUUCUUAGUUUGGAAAGAUUGAUAGAAUCACUUAUUUGACUUAUCAAACUUUCCUCCUUCUAGACACACUGUGUCAUGAGUUGAUCUAUAUAACACUUGUCCAUUUAGACAUAUGCUUUACUGAUCAUGAAAUGUCUCAUAUUCUGGAAUAGCACACUCAAUAGAAUCCUGGAUGAGACUCUCAAUGUGAUAAAGUACACUACACGUGGAUCUUUUCCAGUUGACCUUAUCGAUGUUGUACUGCAACAUCUUAAGGUCAUCCUAAGGUGAGCCUACUGUAGGCUUAAUGGGUUUCUCAAACCACAGUGAGGAAUCUAUUUCAUCCACUGUAGUUAUCAUUUCAAUCUUUUCCCGCCAUAAGUGACAAUAAAUACCACAUAACGGUUUAAUCUACCUUAUCUGACCAACUAGUAGGCCAAUAUGUGCACUUUUGCGAAGUAAAAACAGAAAAUAUUUAGGACGUCUGAAGUAAAUACUGAAACAUAGAACUUGCAUGAAUUAAAUAUUCGACGUUGAUCAAAUAAUAACCAUGUCUGAUCUACAAAAUUUCUUGUUCUAAAAUUCUAAACCAUCGUUGGAUGAUCUAGAAAAUUUAAUUCUUGUAUAAAAUGUGGCAACAAUAUUCGACGUUGGUCAAAAUAUUCAAUCACCACAAAAAAACUGAAUUUCUAUGCACUUAAAGAGAAUUAAUCCACGUAGGCUUCAUAAUAAACAAUAGUGCAUAGAAAAACAAAUAAUAAUCUGGUUCUAAAAUUCUAAAACCAUCGUUGGAUGAUCUAGAAUAUGUAUAUUUUUGUUCAAAAUGUGGUAACAAUAUCUAACGUUGGUUAAAAUAUUCAAUUACCACAAAUUUUCUGAAUUCUAUGCAAUUUAGACAAUAAAUUAAUCAACGUUGGUUUCAUAAUCAACUGAAAAAAUUGCAUAAAAUAUUGAAUAAAGUACCAAAGUACGCAGCGGAAUAAAAUAGUCCAUAAAUAUAUCUGUAAUUUUCUAUAACUGAGAAUUAUUUCUAAGAUAUUUUCUGAAUUUUCUGCACUAUUUUUCUAAUUUCUUUUCUGUGUUUCUAAUUUCUGGAAAUAGAAAACAAAUUCCAAAAAAAAUUGGAGGUCAUUUCGGCCUGGUCGGCCCAGCCUGGACAUGGCCUUUCGGCCUACUAGAGGAAGGGGCGCGCGCAAUGGGCCGCAACCUGGGCCCAGGCCGCGUUUUUGGCCCACGCGGCCUCCCCCUCCCCUCCACUUGAUCUCAGUCGUCGAAUCCGAUCCGACGGUCCAGCUUCUUGCGCGUAGGCUAUAAAAGGCGGGGAUUUCGGAGAGGCUGUAAACCCUAACUUCAUUUCUAUUCUCCUCCCCAGCCGCCAGGAAGCACCGGCGCCUGGCCAACGCCGCGCCUCCCUUUUCCCUUCUCUGUCUUCUGUUUUCGUUCUGUCAGCCGCGCAGAACUUCAGCCGCCAGGGAACUCUGGUUCCUGGCCGACCGAGCCCUUCAACUGGGCUGUGCGCCACAGAGCCCGAGCUAACCUUUUGUUGUCUCUCUCUCUUUUUUUUCGAAAUCUGUUCCGAUUUCUGUUCGUGAUCUGAUCGGUUGUAGUGAUUUCUGCCGAGCUCUUAGGGAUAAAAUCCCUUUCAUUAUUUCACUGUUUUUUUAAAAUAACGAACUCGGUUCAUCAGGGCUUCUGGAACUCGAUUCGAGUUGGGGAUUCUGUCCUAACUCCUACUCCGAGAUCCUCUUUCUGUUUGGAACUACAGGAGAAAACGACCCCCUUCCUCCAAUCGUAUAGAGUUCUUGAUAUUUUUUUAUACCACCGAACAGAUCGAGCCUCGGAUUUGUUAAACCCGAGCUCUAUUAUUUUUCUGCGAAUGAAAUUUCUGUACCUUUGACUGACAACCAGUACAUGGAUUAUAUUGAUAAUGCUCUGUACACAUAAUCUGUACGUGUUUUCUGUUUUAUUGACUGUUUCUGGGUUGUAAAUUUAAAUAAAAUUCCGAGCUACUGUGAUCUCUUUUUGUCCCUGUUGACAUAUGUACCGAUUAGGGUUAGGUCGUAAACCCUAACCCUAAACAGUGGUGAGAGCUCUCUCUGGUUUGAGGCCGAGACACACUGUGUCGCUUACCGACCCGAGAGCAUUGACACUUUCUAUCUAUUCUAAUCUACUCUGUUCUCGGGUGAUAAACGAAAAAAAAAGUUCAAUCAUGUUGAUCCGAGACUUUUCUGUGAUCUCAUAAAACUGAUGUGGAUUAGGAGAUCUAGGGUUCUUAGGACGGCUUUGAUACCAUUGUUAGAAUCUAUACUGUCUAGGAUCGAUUCCUAAGUCCCUAUAAUACCAAUCCGUAACUGAAAGUAAAACCUUGAUGACGUGUAGAUCUGAUCUACUGAUCUAUUGAGAGGAACGGGGAAACACACCUUUGUUGUUGUUGCUAUCUUCAUACCGUCGCCCUGUAGAGAAGCAACAGGGCAUUGGGAUCCAAGCCGCUGUAGGUUGUCGCGUUUCCAAACACUCCGACGCCUAGGCGAUGGGGGCCUCUGAGGACUAGGGUUUUAGGGCGAGGUACUAGCGUUAGUCUUUCCUGCGACCCCUUAGUCCUAUAUAUAGCGUCGUGUGUCUGGGGGCUCCAACCGAGGUUAGCGUGGGCCCUCCCAAUCAAGGGCCCAUUUAAAGAGAUAGAUAGUUGGGUUUAGCCCAAUCCGGUCACAGUUGACCAGCUGUAGAGGACACACCCAACACUUCCUCCUCCAGCCUUCGGAUGUGGGCCUCGAGAACUAGCUCGAUCUCGUCUGCAAGUGCAACUCAUCUGCAGUGCUCCUCCCUAAUGCCU
rnacentral:lncRNA from 1 species